rnacentral:lncRNA from 1 species
AAAACAGCAUCAAACAGGUUAAUGGCUUUACUCAAAGUCAGAUCAACAGUGGGAGCAGAGGUCGUGCAGAACCCAAAUGUCAGCCUUCAGCUUGCACCUACGGGGUCACACGAGAGACACCGGAGACGAAGCCACCUUUGGCUGUACCCAAGAGGGAAAAGAAGAAAAAUAACAACUAGAAGAGGAGCCCAUGACACAUCCUACUCUGUUUUGAAAGUGAGCCAAGUAAAUGAGGAGGAUUAGGACCAAAGGAGCACCUCAGACUCAGGGGUCAGAGUCCAAUCCCAGGUUGGUCUGUGUCUGGCUUUGAAACAACACUGGAAAGAUACUCUCUCCAACCCUGAAAUACCAGUAGUUGAAGUUCACAGCCUCCUUCCUAACCCUAGGAAACCUUUUAUCCACUAGAGCAGGGUGUGGUUAUCUCAACAAAGAGAAAUGCUGCUUUCUCAACCAGAUGCUCCUAGCAUACUUGAAGGCUGGCUCCACCAGUGAUCACCCUGGGCCCAGGGAUUCUCCCCUCCAAAAAGCCUUCUGAACACAGGUGUGACAGAAAGCACUAAAGGGAUAGAGAAGGAGGCACAGACACCCACACACUUGAGUCAGCCACACAUUCUUCCCUUCAAGUGAGGUCCUAGCCUGAGAGGGACCUUAGAUUAAAAGGCUGUGGUUCCUUUAACCCAUUUCUGCCCCAAAACCUCACUUAGAGAGAGAUUUUAAACAGUGCACAUUCAAUGGUGCUUUCUUCUUUCAGCUCCCAAGUCACACUGAGAAGCCAGUCACCCGAGUUGAUGGGAAAAGACACAGCCCACUGCUCUAGCUCUCAUCAGUCCACCACACUGAUAUCUCUCUUUUCUUAAACAUCUUCUGUCUCCAGCCUGAUACAUGUCAGCAGAU